AUGGCAGAGAAAGUCCUUUCUUUUCUUAAAUGCAGGGUUCUUCCUGCCCCAGCCCCUGACCUCAGUGAGAUUGCCCAUCCCUCACUCCCACAGCCUGGAACCCCAUUGCAGCACCAAUUCUCUACAACUGGCAGGCAUGUUGGUCCCACACUGUUAGAGCUGAUUGGGCUAUUUCUGCAUUAUAUCAGGAGCCUCUACAAUCAGAGCUGGUGUGAACACACAAUGGAGAUGCCCUUGGGCAUUCACAGUGGCUGCCAGAGAACAUCGUGAGCUUCCCACAAAGGACUGAAGAUUAUGAGAAAGAUAACAAACAGAUAUGAUGGUGGUACGAAGCAAAGAAUUAAAGAUUCCAGACAGCAGUACCAGGAGGUAAGAAGCUGAAUGUUGGUAUGGAAGUGGGUUGCUGAAUUGAGGUUUAAUAACAUUUUUGAAAUGGGAGACUACUGUUAUAGGUUAAAUUGUGUACCCUCAAAAUUCAUAUGUUGAACUCCUAACCUCAUAAUACUUGAGAAUGUCAUCUUAUUUGGAAAGAGGGUCAUUGCAGAUGUAACUAGUUAAGAUGAGGUUAUGUUGGAGUAGAGUGGGCCCCUACUCCAAUAUGACUGGUGUCCUUUCAAAGAGGGGCAAUUUGGACACAGAGAUGUGCAUAGAGGGAAGACAAUGUGGGGAGACACAGGGAGAAGACAGCCAUCCGCAAGCCAAGGAGAGAACCCUGGAACAGAUUCUUCCCUCGCAGCCCUCAAAAGGAACCAAUGUGCCAACACCUUGAUUUUGAACUCCUGGCCUCCAGAACUGUGAGACGUACAUUUCUGUUGUUAAAGCCACCCAGUUUGUGGUACUUUGUUGUGGCCAUCCUAAAAAAACAAUGCAAGUGUUAAGGAAUUAUGAUGUUAGGCUUUGGACAGUUGAUCCAUGAUGGCUGCCUCUAGUGGAUACUCUUGGUACUUCACUCUUAUUGCCUUAAACGUCCUUUUACCAUUUCUUUAAGCCCUGCUCCACUUCACUGGGCUUUAUCUUCUUUCUGGAGGAUAGCUCUCAGGCCACUGGAGCGGCUUUGCCCUCAUGUGUGCACUGUCCCUGGGAAUUUAUAGCCUC
rnacentral:lncRNA from 1 species